AGUGAACGCUGGCGGUAGGCCUAACACAUGCAAGUCGAACGGCAGCACAGUAAGAGCUUGCUCUUACGGGUGGCGAGUGGCGGACGGGUGAGGAAUACAUCGGAAUCUACUUUUUCGUGGGGGAUAACGUAGGGAAACUUACGCUAAUACCGCAUACGACCUACGGGUGAAAGCAGGGGAUCUUCGGACCUUGCGCGAUUGAAUGAGCCGAUGUCGGAUUAGCUAGUUGGCGGGGUAAAGGCCCACCAAGGCGACGAUCCGUAGCUGGUCUGAGGGGAUGAUCAGCCACACUGGAACUGAGACACGGUCCAGACUCCUACGGGAGGCAGCAGUGGGGAAUAUUGGACAAUGGGCGCAAGCCUGAUCCAGCCAUACCGCGUGGGUGAAGAAGGCCUUCGGGUUGUAAAGCCCUUUUGUUGGGAAAGAAAAGCAGCAGGUUAAUACCCCGCUGUUCUGACGGUACCCAAAGAAUAAGCACCGGCUAACUUCGU
rnacentral:rRNA from 1 species